AUUCUCCAGAUCGCUUUGAUUUCGUUUCUCUGGUGUCUUAGCCGAAGUUAGAUCGUAGAUUCAUACGUUUCGAUUCAUCGAUUAUGCUUCGAAUUACGGUGUUUUUUAUCCUCAGUUUUAAGAGAUUACGUCUUUAGUGAUUUCGUAGAUUCAGGAAUUUAGAAAUGGUGAUUUGAUUUCGCUGCUUUUAGAUCUGAUUGUUCUUCGCUCUUGUUCCUAUAUUGGCUAAAAACUAGGUUUCUUCGUUUCAUUCUCCCAAGAUUCUUCGAGAAUUUUGAAUUUCGAGUUGAUGAUUAUAUGGUUUUGUAUAAUUGACAUUGCUACAACUCUGAAUCUUGCAUAUCUGAUUGUGAAUUUUAAGAAAUUAUGAUGCAUUGAUGAUACUAGAAGCAGCAUUUUCACAAUUGAAUUCAGACUCACUUUGUUACAGCUCUGAAUCUGUUAUCUCUGAUGCUUCGAAGUUAUAGUUUCUUAUUAGAUUUCGGGUUUUGCUUUGUUGUGCUAGGUUUCAUUUUAUACAAUGGGUCGUGGAAACAGCUGUGGUGGAGGUCAAAGCUCAUUAGAUUAUCUCUUUGGUGGUGGUGACGCUCCUGCUCCUAAGCCAGUUCCAGCUCCUCGUCCUGCUCCUACUGAAGCUAACAACGGAACUGCACCACCAGUAACAGCUGCGACCGCAACCGCACUCACGACUGCUACUACUUCUGUUGAGCCAGCAGAGCUUAACAAGCAGAUUCC
rnacentral:lncRNA from 1 species